CUUCCUGUUUUAGCACCACCCACUUGCUUCCUCACAAGGUGUGUGGCUAUGCCAACAGGAUAAAAAAUGUCUGUCAUAAUCUGAAGUGGUGGAUGGUCACACUUCCUCCACCUCUAUAUGAAUUGACAGUACACUUAUAU